CCUACGGGGUGCAGCAGUCGAGAAUCAUUCACAAUGGGGGAAACCCUGAUGGUGCGACGCCGCGUGGGGGAAUGAAGGUCUUCGGAUUGUAAACCCCUGUCAUGUGGGAGCAAAUUAAAAAGAUCGUACCACAAGAGGAAGAGACGGCUAACUCUGUGCCAGCAGCCGCGGUAAUACAGAGGUCUCAAGCGUUGUUCGGAAUCACUGGGCGUAACGCGUGCGUAGGCUGUUUCGUAAGUCGUGUGUGAAAGGCGCGGGCUCAACCCGCGGACGGCACAUGAUACUGCGAGACUAGAGUAAUGGAGGGGGAACCGGAAUUCUCGGUGUAGCAGUGAAAUGCGUAGAUAUCGAGAGGAACACUCGUGGCGAAGGCGGGUUCCUGGACAUUAACUGACGCUGAGGCACGAAGGCCAGGGGAGCGAAAGGGAUUAGAUACCCCUGUAGUC
rnacentral:rRNA from 1 species